rnacentral:rRNA from 1 species
AGGAGGGACUUAUCACGCAUUAGCUAGUUGGUGGGGUAACGGCCUACCAAGGCGACGAUGCGUAGCCGGCCUGAGAGGGCGGACGGCCACACUGGGACUGAGACACGGCCCAGACUCCUACGGGAGGCAGCAGUAGGGAAUUUUCGGCAAUGGGCGAAAGCCUGACCGAGCAACGCCGCGUGAACGAAGAAGGUCUUCGGAUUGUAAAGUUCUGUUAUAGAGGAAGAACGGUAUACAUAGGAAAUGAUGUAUAAGUGACGGUACUCUGUGAGGAAGCCACGGCUAACUACGUGCCAGCAGCCGCGGUAAUACGUAGGUGGCGAGCGUUAUCCGGAAUCAUUGGGCGUAAAGAGGGAGCAGGCGGCCUGGAGGGUCUAUUGUUAAAGGCAAUGGCUUAACCAUUGUAAGGCGAAGAAACCGGCAGGCUAGAGUUCUAAAGAGGAUCGUGGAAUUCCAUGUGUAGCGGUGAAAUGCGUAGAUAUAUGGAGGAACACCAGUGGCGAAGGCGACGAUCUGGGAAGAAACAGACGCUGAGUCCCGAAAGCGUGGGGAGCAAAUAGGAUUAGAUACCCUAGUAGUCCACGCCGUAAACGAUGAGUACUAAGUGUUGGGG